rnacentral:rRNA from 1 species
GAUGAACGCUAGCGGGAGGCCUAACACAUGCAAGCCGAGCGGUAGAGUUUCUUCGGAAACUUGAGAGCGGCGCACGGGUGCGUAACACGUGUGCAACCUACCUUUAUCUGGGGGAUAGCCUUUCGAAAGGAAGAUUAAUACCCCAUAAUAUAAUGAUUGGCAUCAAUUAUUAUUGAAAACUCCGGUGGAUAGAGAUGGGCACGCGCAAGAUUAGAUAGUUGGUGAGGUAACGGCUCACCAAGUCAAUGAUCUUUAGGGGUCCUGAGAGGGAGAUCCCCCACACUGGUACUGAGACACGGAUCAGACUCCUACGGGAGGCAGCAGUGAGGAAUAUUGGACAAUGGGUGAGAGCCUGAUCCAGCCAUCCCGCGUGAAGGAUGACGGUCCUAUGGAUUGUAAACUUCUUUUGUACAGGGAUAAACCUACCCUCGUGAGGGUAGCUGAAGGUACUGUACGAAUAAGCACCGGCUAACUCCGUG